rnacentral:rRNA from 1 species
GUUGUAGUCUGGAGAAGUGCUUUCCGCGCUGGACCGUGUAUAAGUCUCUUGGAACAGAGCGUCAUAGAGGGUGAGAAUCCCGUCUUUGACACGGACUACCAGUGCUUUGUGAUGCGCUCUCAAAGAGUCGAGUUGUUUGGGAAUGCAGCUCAAAAUGGGUGGUGAAUUCCAUCUAAAGCUAAAUAUUGGCGAGAGACCGAUAGCGAACAAGUACCGUGAGGGAAAGAUGAAAAGCACUUUGGAAAGAGAGUUAAACAGUACGUGAAAUUGCUGAAAGGGAAACGCUUGAAGUCAGUCGCGUCUUCCGGAACUCAGCCUUCCUUUUGGUUGGUGCACUUUCCGGUAGACGGGCCAGCAUCGAUUUYGACCGUCGGAAAAGGGCUGGGGAAAUGUGGCACCUUUCGGGGUGUGUUAUAGUCCUCAGUCGCAUACGUCGGUUGGGAUCGAGGAUCGCAGCGCGCCGCAAGGCAGGGGUUCGCCCACUUUCGCGCUUAGGAUGCUGGCAUAAUGGCUUUAAACGACCCGUCUUGAAACACGGACCAAGGAGUCUAACAAACCUGCGAGUGUUUGGGUGGAAAACCCGAGCGCGUAAUGAAAGUGAAAGUUGAGACCUCUGUCGUGGAGGGCAUCGACGCCCGGACCUGACGUUCUCUGACGGAUCCGCGGUAGAGCAUGUUUGUUGGGACCCGAAAGAUGGUGAACUAUGCCUGAAUAGGGUGAAGCCAGAGGAAACUCUGGUG